GCGCAUGCUUGAAAACUUGCAACCUAUUGACCUAAGCUACGCAUGGGGGAACCUCUUUUCACCAUUAUUGCUUAGGAGAAAGUCCCCGGACAUUAGGCAGAGAUAUCCUGCAUACAGCGCAGAGUGGUGGCUUGCGUAGCCUGUCGGUGCUAAUACAUCCUCAGUUAUAGAGCACAACGCUUGCAAUCCAGAUUUGUCAAUAACACAGAUAUUCAAAUGAAGCACAAAAAAGUGCUGCUACAGAACAGGGCUCAUUCUCAGCACGCG
ensembl:ribozyme RNase_MRP RNase MRP